rnacentral:rRNA from 1 species
GGGCCCGCACAAGCGGUGGAGCAUGUGGUUUAAUUCGAUGAUACGCGAGGAACCUUACCAGGGCUUAAAUGUAGUCUGACAGGGGCAGAGACGCCCCCUUCUUCGGACAUUUUUCAAGGUGCUGCAUGGUUGUCGUCAGCUCGUGCCGUGAGGUGUCAGGUUAAGUCCUAUAACGAGCGCAACCCCUACCGUUAGUUGCCAGCGUGUAAUGACGGGAACUCUAACAAGACUGCCGGUGCAAACCGUGAGGAAGGUGGGGAUGACGUCAAAUCAUCACGGCCCUUACGUCCUGGGCCACACACGUGCUACAAUGGUAGGUACAGAGGGAAGCCACCCGCGAGGGGGAGCGGAUCUACAAAACCUAUCUCAGUUCGGAUCGGAGUCUGCAACUCGACUCCGUG